rnacentral:rRNA from 1 species
ACGCACGCUGGCGGCGUGCCUCAUCCAUGCAAGUAGAACGCUGAAGGAGGAGCUUGCUUCUCUGGAUGAGUUGCGAACGGGUGAGUAACGCGUAGGUAACCUGCCUGGUAGCGGGGGAUAACUAUUGGAAACGAUAGCUAAUACCGCAUAAGAGUAGAUGUUGCAUGACAUUUGCUUAAAAGGUGCAAUUGCAUCACUACCAGAUGGACCUGCGUUGUAUUAGCUAGUUGGUGAGGUAACGGCUCACCAAGGCGACGAUACAUAGCCGACCUGAGAGGGUGAUCGGCCACACUGGGACUGAGACACGGCCCAGACUCCUACGGGAGGCAGCAGUAGGGAAUCUUCGGCAAUGGACGGAAGUCUGACCGAGCAACGCCGCGUGAGUGAAGAAGGUUUUCGGAUCGUAAAGCUCUGUUGUAAGAGAAGAACGAGUGUGAGAGUGGAAAGUUCACACUGUGACGGUAUCUUACCAGAAAGGGACGGCUAACUACGUG